rnacentral:rRNA from 1 species
UACGUAGGGGGCCAGCGUUGUUCGGAUUUACUGGGCGUACAGGGAGCGUAGGCGGUUGGAUAAGCCCUCCGUGAAAUCUCCAGGCUUAACCUGGAAAGUGCAGAGGGGACUGUUCAGCUAGAGGAUGGGAGAGGAGCGCGGAAUUCCCGGUGUAGCGGUGAAAUGCGUAGAGAUCGGGAGGAAGGCCGGUGGCGAAGGCGGCGCUCUGGAACAUUUCUGACGCUGAGGCUCGAAAGCGUGGGGAGCAAACAGG